rnacentral:rRNA from 1 species
GGAAUAAUACGACCGAAGGGGUACGUAAUACCGGAUAUUCUUGCUUUUCAUAAGUUAUGCAAGCAAAGGUGGCCUCUGCAUAUGCUACUGCAUGAAGAGGGGUCUGCGUACCAUUAGCUAGUAGGUGGGGUAAUGGCCUACCUAGGCGACGAUGGUUAGCGGGUCUGAGAGGAUGAUCCGCCACACUGGCACUGGAACACGGGCCAGACUCCUACGGGAGGCAGCAGUGAGGAAUAUUGCGCAAUGGGGGAAACCCUGACGCAGCGACGCCGCGUGAGUGAGGAAGGCCUUCGGGUCGUAAAGCUCUGUCAAGAGGAAAGAAGUGUACAAUGGCUAAUACCUGUUGUAUUUGACGGUACCUCUAAAGGAAGCACCGGCUAACUCCGUGCCAGCCGCCGC